CAAUAGCGUAUAUUAAAGUUGUUGCGGUUAAAAGCUCGUAGUUGGAUUUCUGCCGAGGACGACCGGUCCGCCCUCUGGGUGAGUAUCUGGCUCGGCCUGGGCAUCUUCUUGGAGAACGUAGCUGCACUUGACUGUGUGGUGCGGUAUCCAGGACUUUUACUUAAUGGAAAUUAGACUGUUUCAAGCAGGAAUACGCCUUGAAUACAUUAGCAUGGAAUGAUAAGAUAGGACCUCGGUUCUAUUUUGUUGGUUUCUUGAGCUGAGGUAAUGAUUAAUAGGGAUAGUUGGGGGCGAUUCGUAUUUAACUGUCAGAGGUGAAACUCUUGGAUUUGUUAAAGACGGACUACUGCGAAAGCAUUUGCCAAGGAUGUUUUCAUUGAUCAAGAACGAAAGUUAGGGGAUCG
rnacentral:rRNA from 1 species